AUCACCUUUUAGGGAGAACAGACAACGCAGUUUCUGUUUAUCACUUACAGAAAAUAUCUGUUUCUUACUGACUAGCUCUGAAAUCCCAAACAAAUUAUGAACUACUGCUCAUUUAUGCAGUGCUAGAUAUCUAUCACCAAGAGGCAAUAUGUAAUCCCCCUCCCAAGACAGUAAGAGCCUUCCACAAAAUUCCCCAUUUAGUCCAGAAGAAAAGUCACUCUGAAGCAUCAAACAAUUUCCAGUUGGAAGAUAGAAUACUUUUUUCUUUCUGUGGACAUUUCAAGAAAGUAUGUAUGUCACUAGUCAUGUGACUGAAAAAAAGAAAAGAUGGAGUGACUGGAGUGAUGGCAAUCACUGAUUUAAUUCUCUUAUAAAAAGGAUUCUGAGCGAGACUACAGCAAACUAUUUGACUUUUUAACUUUGUGAGAAAAAAAAUGAUGGAUUUAGCAAAGAUAUUGCCUGUUUUCUUACAAUGAGCUUUUCUUCAUUCAACAGCUUGUUAUGAAAUUAAACUUGCACAAACAGAACAAGGAGUUCUAGUGUCUUUGUAACUGAAACAUAUGCAAGGAAAAAAAGUUCAUCAACAAGACCAGCACAUCUUGCAAGUUCAACAAAAUUGCUGUGGCCUAAUUUUACUUCUCAAGCUUUACUUGUCACAUACAAGGUACCAAAGAACCACGCUUUCUUCAACAGAUACAGCUGAGUAUAGGCCAGAGCAUCAUGUAUCAAAAGCCCUUGAAGUUUUGGCAAUACCUGUCUGGUUUACAGGAGGCAAACAUCAACUGACAAAAUGUACAAUCAGCCUGCAUUAAUCAUCUUCCUUUUCAAUCUCAGCAAAAAAAUCUGCAGGGUGAUCAAGAGAAAAGCCUUGUAUUGAUGCCCUCCCACUAAUCUUAUCCAAAGAAAAGGUACAGAAAGGGAGCAGUGGAAUGCACAAAGAACAGAGAAAAGGUAACAAAAGCCUUCCUUACUUAUAGUUCUCUUCUGCUUUUCCCCAUACUAGUAG